UCGGCGCUCUCACCGCCGCGGCCCGGGUUC
rnacentral:piRNA from 4 species